rnacentral:rRNA from 1 species
GACGAACGCUGGCGGCGUGCUUAACACAUGCAAGUCGAACGGAAAGGCCCUGCUUUUGUGGGGUGCUCGAGUGGCGAACGGGUGAGUAACACGUGAGUAACCUGCCCUUGACUUUGGGAUAACUUCAGGAAACUGGGGCUAAUACCGGAUAGGAGCUCCUGCUGCAUGGUGGGGGUUGGAAAGUUUCGGCGGUUGGGGAUGGACUCGCGGCUUAUCAGCUUGUUGGUGGGGUAGUGGCUUUCCAAGGCUUUGACGGGUAGCCGGCCUGGGAGGGUGACCGGCCACAUUGGGACUGAGAAACGGCCCAGACUCAUACGGGAGGCAGCAGUGGGGAAUAUUGCACAAUGGGCGGAAGCCGGAUGCAGCAACGCCGCGUGCGGGAUGACGGCCUUCGGGUAGUAAACCGCUUUCGCCUGUGACGAAGCGUGAGUGACGGUAAUGGGUAAAGAAGCACCGGCUAACUACGU